ACUCGUCUGAGCGAGUAUAAACAGCAUAUUAAGCUCAGAGCGUCUCCCCGAAAGGGGAGGGUUAUG
rnacentral:ribozyme from 1 species